rnacentral:ncRNA from 2 species
AAGGGACGGGGUCAUGGAGCCUGCUGCUUAAUUUGACUCAAAACGGGAAAACUUACCAGGUCGAGACAUAGCAAGGAUUGACAGACUGAGAGCUCUUUCUUGAUUCUAUGGGUGGUGGUGCAUGGCCGUUCUUAGUUGGUGGAGCGAUUUGCCUCUUAAUUCCGUUAACGAACGAGACCUCAGCCUGCUAACUAGCUUUGCGGAUCCAUCCCUCCGCAGCUAGCUUCUUAGAGGGACUAUCGCCGUUUAGGCGACGGAAGUUUGAGGCAAUAACAGGUCUGUGAUGCCCUUAGAUGUUCUGGGCCGCACGCAUGCUACACUAAUGUAUUCAACGAGUAUAUAGCCUUGGACGACAGGCCCGGGUAAUCUUGGGAAAUUUCAUCGUGAUGGGGAUAGAUCAUUGCAAUUGUUGUUCUUUAACGAGGAAUGCCUAGUAAGCGCGAGUCAUCAGCUCGUGUUGACUACGUCCCUGCCCUU